rnacentral:rRNA from 1 species
UACGGAGGAUGCAAGCGUUAUCCGGAAUUAUUGGGCGUAAAGCGUCCGCAGGUGGUUAUCCAAGUCUGCUGUUAAAGCGCGAGGCUUAACUUCGUACAGGCAGUGGAAACUGGGUGACUGGAGUAUGGUAGGGGUAGCGGGAAUUCCCAGUGUAGCGGUGAAAUGCGUAGAUAUUGGGAAGAACACCGGUGGCGAAAGCGGCUCACUGGAUCUUUUCUGACGCUGAGGCGCGAAAGCGUGGGGGAGCAAACAGG